AUUGAACGCUGGCGGCAGGCCUAACACAUGCAAGUCGAGCGGAGCGGCGGACGGGUGAGUAAUGCCUAGGAAUCUGCCUGGUACCGGGGGAUAACGUCCGGAAACGGGCGCUAAUACCUCAUACUAUCAGAUGAGCCUAGGUCGGAUUAGCUAGUUGGUGGGGUAAAGGCCUACCAAGGCGACGAUCCGUAACUGGUCUGAGGGGAUGAUCAGUCACACGUGAACUGGGACGAGGACCAGAAUGCUAAGGGAGGCAGCAGUGAGAAAUAUUGGACAAUGGGCAAUAGCGAAAUCCACGCAUGCGGCGUGUGCGGAAAAGGUCUUCGGAUGGUAAAGCACUUUAAGUUGGGAGGCGGUACCAAAAGAAUAAGCACCGGCUAACUCCGUGCCAGCAGCCGCGGUAAUAC
rnacentral:rRNA from 1 species